CAGUAGCCACGGUAAUACGUAGGUGGCAAGCGUUGUCCGGAAUUAUUGGGCGUAAAGCGCGCGCAGGCGGAUCAGUCAGUCUGUCUUAAAAGUUCGGGGCUUAACCCCGUGAUGGGAUGGAAACUGCUGAUCUAGAGUAUCGGAGAGGAAAGUGGAAUUCCUAGUGUAGCGAUGAAAUGCGUAGAUAUUAGGAAGAACACCAGUGGCGAAGGCGACUUUCUGGACGAAAACUGACGCUGAGGCGCGAAAGCCAGGGGAGCGAACGGGAUUAGAUACCCCAGUAGUCCCUGUCUCUUAUACC
rnacentral:rRNA from 1 species